rnacentral:rRNA from 1 species
CGAAAGCCUGACGGAGCAAGACCGCGUGAGGGAGGAAGGCUCUUGGNUUGUAAACCUCUUUUCUCAGGGAAGAAGCACUGACGGUACCUGAGGAAUCAGCAUCGGCUAACUCCGUGCCAGCAGCCGCGGUAAUACGGAGGAUGCAAGCGUUAUCCGGAAUCAUUGGGCGUAAAGCGUCCGCAGGUGGUAGUUCAAGUCGAUUGUCAAAGGCAGUAGCUUAACUACUGAGAGGCAGUGGAGACUGAAAGACUAGAGUGCGGUAGGGGUAGAGGGAAUUCCCGGUGUAGCGGUGAAAUGCGUAGAGAUCGGGAAGAACACCAGUGGCGAAAGCGCUCUGCUAGACCGGCACUGACACUGAGGGACGAAAGCUAGGGGAGCG